AGGUUUUAGGUUAAGGUUAUAGGUUUAGGUUAAGGUUUUAGGCUAAGGUUUUAGGUCAUAGGUUUAGGUUUAUGUUUAGGUUGUAGGUUUAGGUUUUAAGUCAUAGGUUUUGGUUUAGGUUAAGGUUAUAGGUAUAGGUUAAGGUUUUAGGUCAUAGGUUUUGGUUUAAGUUAAGGUUAUAGGUAUAGGUUAAGGUUUUAGGUCAUAGGUUUAGGUUUAGGUUAAGGUUUUAGGUAUAGGUUAAGGUUUAGGUUUAGGUUAAGGUUUUAGGUUAUAGGUUUUUGUUUAGGUUAAGGUUAUUGGUAUAGGUUAAGG